UAACAUGCACGUGUGUAAACAUGUUCUAUAUAUAACCACGUGCAGUAGAGAGAAACGCGACAUUCAUCCGAACAAGAAGAUGGCGAUCAGAGCCCUUUUGCUGGCACUGCUGAUAAUGAGCAUGUCAACUGUCAUAGUCGGUUGGCCACAGGACGAUAUAUGGUACGUGCCAAAGCCUGAUCAUAAACCUCCACAAUGACAGAUAAAACGGGGCGGCCCAAUCUUUGAGACUGCGGGCGGACUGUUAUCCCCCGGAGCAGUGAGACAUUUCACACAGGGAUGUCAUUUUAAUAUAUUUUAGAAAUAAA